GCGUAAUAAAACAUCCGAAGUUCUAAGACCCCCCACAUGUUGUGAAUUUGGUUGGAGUAAAGAUCUAAGGGUCCAUACUGGGCUAUAAAAAUAGUGUAGUACUUGAGCAGUACUGUAAAAAUGGCAAUUAUAAAUAAUUAUGAGUGUUGAGGAGGUAAUAUGAACACUCAAGUUCAAAGCAGUAAAAUAAAAAUUAAAAAAAAAAGACAGACUUAGGUAAGCCAUCUAUCAACUCGGAGAAUGCUGAUGCUUUGUUGAAAGAGAGCUUUGUCUUACAAAUUAGGCACUUAUAAAACAACAGGCUAUUGGGUUUGGAGUGAAUUCUCAGAAACAUCACUACUGACAUAACUCCAUAAAGAAUUCAUAAUUUCUACUCACAUGUUUUACCCACAUCAAUAACAGAAUCUCAGGAAAACCAAAGUGGAGUUUACAAUGUUCAUUUUGACACUGUGCAUUAGACUUCUCGACUUCAAGCUACAAAAACCAGCACAGAACCUGGAAAAAUUUUACCUCCUGGCAUUUUUGUUUCUCUACCCUGAUGCUUGUUGUUGAGUUUUACCCAUGCUUUGACCAUCAGCAAAUUGAAGACUCAUCACUCACUGCAGAUGUUACUUUAAGACAUUCUGGAGCAGCGUCAUGUGCAGGAGAAAAUAGUAUCAUCUCAGCCUUCUAUGAAAUCAAGGCAAUAUUCAUGUGAAAGUAUAUUCCAAACCCAGAACCUGAGCACAGAUUGGGACUGAGAAACACUUGUCUAGAUUGUCAGGCAAUCUGUAACAUCAGCAGUGGAUGGAAAGAAGGAGAAAGAUGAGUUUUAUGGACGCUAACCCAUCUAUAUGGCUUUGGAAAAUAAAGUACUGCUGUUUUUUUUUGUAAAGGAUUUUUAUUUUUUAUCUUUACAUACAUCUCCCAUUAAAAGGUUAAGACAUUAG
rnacentral:lncRNA from 1 species